GAUGAACGCUGGCGGCGUGCUUAAUACAUGCAAGUCGAGCGAACGGACGAGAAGCUCGCUUCUCUGAUGUUAGCGGCGGACGGGUGAGUAACACGUGGAUAACCUACCUAUAAGACUGGGAUAACUUCGAGAAACCGGAGUUAAUACCGGAUGAUAUUUUGAACCGCAUGGUUCAAAAGUGAAAGACGGUUUUGCUGUCACUUCUAGAUGGAUCCGCGCUGCAUUAGUUAGUUGGUAAGGUAACGGCUUACCAAGGCAACGAUGCAUAGCCGACCUGGGAGGGUGAUCGGGCACACAGGGACUGAGAGGCGGUACAGACUCCUACAGGAGGCAGCGGUAGGGAAUCUUCCGCGAUGGGCGAAAGCCUGACGGAGCGGCGCCGGGUGGAUGAUGAGGGUCUUCGGAUCGGAAGACUCUGUUAUUAUGGAAGAACAUAUGUGUAAGUAACUGUGCACAUCUUGACGGUACCUAGUCAGAAAGCCACGGCUAACUACGUG
rnacentral:rRNA from 1 species